AUUCAUUGGAUAGCAAUGUUUUAUCCACCAAAAAUAUAAUGUAAAUUCCACUGAAUUCACUUGAAAAUGGUAUUUGUAUAUAUGAUAUUACAAAAACUUAUCCAUUUAUUCUUUUAUCCAGGUUUUGAUAAUCAACACCAGAAGACAACAUAACAAAGCAGAUGAGAAAUUCAUAAUUUCUUGUCCAUGUAAGUACAACAUGAUUGCAUAAUGUUACUACCAAAUAUGACAGAACAACUAAAUGUUAACCUCAAAUAUCCUGACUGUAUUUUUCUUCUCAGCAGGUCAGUGUUCAUGCCAAAAAUUACAAGUAAGAGGAUCUUCUUGCUCAAGCAUAAAUGGCUUAUUUCACAGAUGUGAAAGAAGCAACCUCAUAAACUUUAUUUUGAAUGGUACUGUACCUGCAAAUCAUUCUUCAGUGCAAGUAAGACCUAGAGAAUAUAAGAGGAGGCGUUCCCAGUGUUUGCUUAGGCAGCUUGCAGAGUGUCUCUACACGCGCAAUCUAGGUUUGAAACCUGCUAUCAAGAGUGGCUAUCACUGUGGUGAUCACAUAAAGCCCAUGAUAAACCAGACUGACAGGUUUACAUCACACCCUGAACAAUACAUACAUUACAAUUACAAGCUUGUCAAAGCUAACGAUCAAGAUUUUUGGAUGAUCGAAUCAGAGGACAAAGUGUAUGCAGUAAGCCACAGCACUGGGCCCUGCCCUGACCAGCUGAUGCCUGACUCCAGAACUUGGCUGAGAACUGAUGACAACUUCACUGAAAACAUCACAGUUACCUGUACCACCUGGGAUAGCCCUUUUGAUGAGUGAUCUUUGCAGGUAUAUUGAUGAUGCAAUAUUAACUUUCUUUAUAUCUUGUCAGCCUAAUACGUGAAACAGAUAAGUCUGUCUUUCACACAUACACAACAACAACCAUGAUAAUAAAUUCAUGAAGCAUUCACACACGGUGCCAGACAAUAUACUAAAUCACUAAUAAUUGUAAGACACCAUUUCCCAAUGCAUAUUUAACUUUACAAACUACUUGAAUAUUCACAUUACAACAUUUCACCUUAAAAAUUCUUCCCAAAAACUACAUAUUCAUAAAGUAAUAACUGAAGCAUAAUUAAUUACAAGAUCUGAGUAUUGCUCUUAACAAUGUCAUUCCUAAAUUAUGCCUUUCUUUUUCUUCUAAGCUUUUACAUAAUAAUUUCAAUAAUGUAAGGUAUGUAGUUAUGUGCUAUGCAGAGACAAACUGUUGAGUUUGUCUUCUUUCGCAGUGUUGUCCUUGAUCACCUCAUAGUAACUAGCUAAACAGGUACUGGACAUUAGCCAAGGUUAGCAAUCCUUUCUUACUGUAUGUGUGUAUACUGUACUUGCUUGAACAGGAGAAAAAGUCUAUACCACAUCCUAAGUGGUAAACAACAAACUGAAAAAAUAAAAAUAAAUGAAGUAUAAAAAAAAAAAAAAA